AAGUCUUUACGGAGAAAGCUUUAUGCACCAUUGGAUGAGCCUGCACUUGAUUAGUUAGUUGGUAGGGUAAUGGCCUACCAAGACUGUGAUCAAUAGCUGAUUUGAGAGGAUGAUCAGCCACAUUGGGACUGAGACACGGCCCAAACUCCUACGGGAGGCAGCAGUGGGGAAUCUUGCACAAUGGAGGAAACUCUGAUGCAGCGAUGCCGCGUGAGUGAAGAAGGCCUUUGGGUUGUAAAGCUCUUUCGUCGGGGAAGAAAAUGACUGUACCCGA
rnacentral:rRNA from 1 species